ensembl:snRNA U6 U6 spliceosomal RNA
GUGCUCCUUUCGGCAGCAUGUAUACUAAAAUUGGAACAAUACAGAGAAGAUUGGCAUGGCCCCUGUGAAAUGAUGACAAAUUCAUGCAGCGUUCCAUAUUUUU